AAAGAUGAGGCUGACUUCUGCAAAUUUUGGAUACCAUGAUGACCUCAGAAAACCUAGAGGACCUUCCACAACCUUGUGGCAGCUUCAGACUAAGAGGAACAAUCUGUCUACUAAAUGAAUAUCACCAGGAGCAGCAAAUCCCACCAGUCAUCCACCAGCAGGAAUUGUCCCCCAGGAGAACUGAUUUAUACAGCAGGACAUCAAGUGCAUGAUAAAGACACAUAAUAUAGGUGGGGCCUUUGAAGGCAAUUACGUUUAGAUGCCAUCCUUAUGCUGGAAUUAGCACCCUUAUGGGAAGAGACACCAGGGAGCUUGUUUCUUCUCUCUCUCCCCACCAUGUGAGGACACAGGCGAAGGCGGCCAUC